rnacentral:rRNA from 1 species
UACGAAGGGGGCGAGCGUUGUUCGGAAUUACUGGGCGUAAAGGGCGCGUAGGCGGCCUCUGCAAGUCGACUGUGAAAUCUCCGGGCUUAACCCGGAAAGGUCAGCCGAUACUGCAGGGCUAGAGUGCAGAAGGGGCAACUGGAAUUCUCGGUGUAGCGGUGAAAUGCGUAGAUAUCGAGAGGAACACCUGCGGCGAAGGCGGGUUGCUGGGCUGACACUGACGCUGAAGCGCGAAAGCUAGGGGAGCGAACGGG